rnacentral:rRNA from 1 species
UACGUAGGAGGCAAGCGUUGUCCGGAGUUACUGGGCGUAAAGAGCGCGCAGGCGGUCGUCCAAGUCGCGUGUGAAAGCCCCCGGCUCAACUGGGGAGGGUCACGCGAUACUGAUCGACUCGAAGGCAGGAGAGGGAAGCGGAAUUCCCGGUGUAGUGGUGAAAUGCGUAGAUAUCGGGAGGAACACCAGUGGCGAAGGCGGCUUCCUGGCCUGUUCUUGACGCUGAGGCGCGAAAGCUAGGGUAGCAAACGGG